GUAAUUAUUACGAUUGUUCAGACGCUGAUUGAAAAUUAAAAAGGUUAUAAACGUGUCCAACCGGCGGGCGAGCCCGCCAAGGAAACAUGAGUACGCAAAAAGACAAGGGUUCAGACAGAGAGCGUACUCGCAAUCCAACUGCUGAAGCAAGCUGGCAACUUUCCGCUCCCCCGAGCAGUAGAAAUCUACUGAGUGUAAUGAUCCUUCCGCAGGUUCACCUACGGAAA
rnacentral:misc_RNA from 1 species